rnacentral:rRNA from 1 species
CGAAUCGCGGCGUGCUUACACAUGCAGUCGAACGGUGAACACGGAGCUUGCUCUGUGGGAUCAGUGGCGAACGGGUGAGUAACACGUGAGCAACCUGCCCCUGACUCUGGGAUAAGCGCUGGAAACGGCGUCUAAUACUGGAUAUGUGACGUGACCGCAUGGUCUGCGUUUGGAAAGAUUUUUCGGUUGGGGAUGGGCUCGCGGCCUAUCAGCUUGUUGGUGAGGUAAUGGCUCACCAAGGCGUCGACGGGUAGCCGGCCUGAGAGGGUGACCGGCCACACUGGGACUGAGACACGGCCCAGACUCCUACGGGAGGCAGCAGUGGGGAAUAUUGCACAAUGGGCGGAAGCCUGAUGCAGCAACGCCGCGUGAGGGAUGACGGCCUUCGGGUUGUAAACCUCUUUUAGCAGGGAAGAAGCGAAAGUGACGGUACCUGCAGAAAAAGCGCCGGCUAACUACGUGCCAGCAGCCGCGGUAAUACGUAGGGCGCAAGCGUUAUCCGGAAUUAUUGGGCGUAAAGAGCUCGUAGGCGGUUUGUCGCGUCUGCUGUGAAAUCCCGAGGCUCAACCUCGGGCCUGCAGUGGGUACGGGCAGACUAGAGUGCGGUAGGGGAGAUUGGAAUUCCUGGUGUAGCGGU